CACGUAGGGGGCGAGCGUUGUCCGGAUUUAUUGGGCGUAAAGAGCUCGUAGGCGGCUUGUCGCGUCGGAUGUGAAAGCCCGGGGCUUAACUCCGGGUCUGCAUUCGAUACGGGCAGGCUAGAGUUCGGUAGGGGAGAUCGGAAUUCCUGGUGUAGCGGUGAAAUGCGCAGAUAUCAGGAGGAACACCGGUGGCGAAGGCGGAUCUCUGGGCCGAUACUGACGCUGAGGAGCGAAAGCCAGGGGAGCAAACGGG
rnacentral:rRNA from 1 species